GUGACAGCAGCCGCGGUAAUACAGAGGUCCCGAGCGUUGUUCGGAUUCACUGGGCGUAAAGGGUGCGUAGGUGGUGAGGUAAGUCGGAUGUGAAAUCUCUGAGCCCAACUCAGAAACUGCAUUGGAAACUACCUUGCUAGAGGAUUGGAGGGGGGACUGGAAUUCUCGGUGUAGCAGUGAAAUGCGUAGAUAUCGAGAGGAACACCAGUGGCGAAGGCGAGUCCCUGGACAAUUCCUGACACUAAGGCACGAAAGCUAGGGGAGCAAACAGGAUUAGAAACCCGCGUAGUCC
rnacentral:rRNA from 1 species